rnacentral:rRNA from 1 species
GACGAACGCUGGCGGCGUGCUUAACACAUGCAAGUCGAACGGAAAGACCCUGCUUUUGUGGGGUGCUCGAGUGGCGAACGGGUGAGUAACACGUGAGUAACCUGCCCUUGACUUUGGGAUAACUUCAGGAAACUGGGGCUAAUACCGGAUAGGAGCUCCUGCUGCAUGGUGGGGGUUGGAAAGUUUCGGCGGUUGGGGAUGGACUCGCGGCUUAUCAGCUUGUUGGUGGGGUAGUGGCUUACCAAGGCUUUGACGGGUAGCCGGCCUGGGAGGGUGACCGGCCACCUUGGGACUGCGGUACGGCCCAGACUGCUACGGGAGACAGCAGUGGGGAAUAUUGCACAAUGGGCCGAAGCCUGAUGCGGCGACGCCGCGUGCGUGAUGACGGCCUUCGGGUUGUAAACCGCUUUCGCCUGUUACGAAGCGGUAGUGACGGUAAUGGGUAAAGAAGCACCGGCUAACUACGUG